rnacentral:rRNA from 1 species
AUUGAACGCUGGCGGCAUGCCUUACACAUGCAAGUCGAACGGCAGCACGGGAGCUUGCUCCUGGUGGCGAGUGGCGAACGGGUGAGUAACACAUCGGAACGUACCCUGAAGUGGGGGAUAACGUAGCGAAAGUUACGCUAAUACCGCAUAUUCUGUGAGCAGGAAAGAGGGGGGAUCGCAAGACCUCUUGCUUUAGGAGCGGCCGAUGUCGGAUUAGCUAGUUGGUGAGGUAAAGGCUCACCAAGGCGACGAUCCGUAGCGGGUCUGAGAGGAUGAUCCGCCACACUGGGACUGAGACACGGCCCAGACUCCUACGGGAGGCAGCAGUGGGGAAUUUUGGACAAUGGGCGCAAGCCUGAUCCAGCCAUGCCGCGUGAGUGAAGAAGGCC